CCCAGCGAUAAAUCACUGGGCUAUUAGCGAAUGUCCCUUCGGGACA
rnacentral:sRNA from 1 species